rnacentral:rRNA from 1 species
GGAAAGGCGAAAAGAACCCCGGCGAGGGGAGUGAAAAAGAACCUGAAACCGUGUACGUACAAGCAGUAGGAGCCCCAUCACUCAAGUGCCUCGCACUGAGUGAUUGUAAAAACCAUUCGAAAACAGCGCCGCGUUUACCUACAAAGUGGAUUGAUUUUUUCAAGCCGUCGCGCAGUGUACAUAGAAGUACACGAGCAACGGAAGUUAAAAAAUCGAGCCAGUUUGACAGUAAAAGCAAGCGGGACAUUUGAGGAUGGGGUGACUGCGUACCUUUUGUAUAAUGGGUCAGCGACUUAUAUUCUGUAGCAAGGUUAACCGAAUAGGGGAGCCG